GGGCUUGUGGCUCAGUGGUAGAGCGCCCGCUUUGCAUCAAGACAGGUCACUUGUGAUCCAUCGAGUAUCAAAUUGCGGGAGGUCCAGGUUUCGAUCACCUGCCAGUCCA